rnacentral:rRNA from 1 species
UACGUAGGGUGCAAGCGUUGUCCGGAAUUACUGGGCGUAAAGCGUGCGCAGGCGGUUCGUUAAGUUCGAUGUGAAAGCCCCGGGCUCAACCUGGGAACUGCAUUGGAAACUGGCGGGCUUGAGUGUGGCAGAGGGGGGUGGAAUUCCACGUGUAGCAGUGAAAUGCGUAGAGAUGUGGAGGAACACCGAUGGCGAAGGCAGCCCCCUGGGCUAACACUGACGCUCAGGCACGAAAGCGUGGGGAGCAAACAGG